CUAUAGUAGAAAAGGGUAGUUCAACAUGCUUGCUUCAUUAUUUAGGGGUAUUUUUGUCUUUUCACAUUUAGGGGUAUUUUUGUCUUUUCAAUUUUCUCUAAUGGCUAGGUGUCAUCUUGUUGCUUAAUCAAUUUUUGCCCUUUCACUUUCCUAUUGCAAGGUGUCUUUCAAUGGUGAUCUGAAUGUAUGCAUGUGUUCCUCUAUGUCAUCCUUCUAUUUUCCCUCUACUGAUAUCACUAUUUUCACAUCAAAGUUCACACCAUUUACCAGAGACCCUUUUAAGCUCAAAGGCCUUUCCUGAUUUUUCGAUAAAGGUAAGACAUUCAGCGUCCAAAUAAAGAAGUUGUUUGCCAAAAACAAGGAUGCAUCUUCAGCAAAACUGUUUAUCAUGUCAAUCACCGAGAAAGAUAUUGCUAGCAAUCUGCCACUGCCCGUCAACGCACCAACAACUCCAGAAAGCAGUAAACGCAAGCUGAAGCAAAUCAUGAUAAAAGAAGACUAAAAGGUAUUCUCUCUACACGACUGUCAAUUGCUAUGCAGCA